GACGAACGCUGGCGGCGUGCUUAACACAUGCAAGUCGAGCGGAAAGGCCACUUCGGUGGUACUCGAGCGGCGAACGGGUGAGUAACACGUGAGUAAUCUGCCCUUGGCUUUGGGAUAGCCACCGGAAACGGUGAUUAAUACCGGAUAUGACCACUCUAGGCAUCUAGUGGUGGUGGAAAGUUUUUCGGCCAGGGAUGUGCUCGCGGCCUAUCAGCUUGAUGGUGAGGUAAUGGCUCACCAUGGCUUCGACGGGUAGCCGGCCUGAGAGGGUAACCGGUCACACUGGGAAGGAGACACGACCCAGACUCCUACGGGAGGCAGUAGUGGGGAAUAUUGGACAAUGGGCGGAAGCCUGAUCCAGCAACGCCGCGUGAGGGAUGAGGGCCUUCGGGUUGUAAACCUCUUUCGGUAGGGACGAAGCGCGAGUGACGGUACCUACUAAAGAAGCACCGGCCAACUACGUGCCAGCAGCCGCCGUAAGAC
rnacentral:rRNA from 1 species